AGCCGGUGCCGGGAGAGGCCCCUCUCCCCCCGCGGCUGGCGCGGAAUGUGGCGAUCCGGCCAGGGGCGGGGGAUGACUUCCGGCGGCCGGAGCUCGGCGCCGGGAGCAGGUGCUGCAGCUGGCAGGUGGGGUGGGGGCCGGCCGAGCUGACCACACACAGACGCGGCGCGGCGGCACUGCGGCCCCCGGGCAGCCGGCGCCGGGGACAUGCGCUGAUUCGAUCCCUCCGGAGAAGAACUCUACUGCAACAACGAUCAGUGGUCUACUGAACUUGUGUAAGAUGACCAGAAGUUGAAGUAUGAAUGACAACUUGGUGAAAAAAACCCUGCGGCAUAUACCAAAUACCAAGAUGUGCAUCCUCUGCCCAUCCUCAUUUCUGUAUUCCCACUCAUCCCAUCGUAAUUAGAUUCUGCCACUUUUCUCCUGAGCCCUAUAAUAGUCUCAUGUCUACUCACUUCCCAUCUCUUCCCCGUCUUUUAAUCUCAAAUGCCGUUCAUACAUACAGAACGUCACCUGAAUGAUGUUCAUAACUGAUGGCUGCUUGCUUUCUUAAGAAUGCUUAAAAGAUGCAGUGUUGGAAGAGAAAGCUGUCACCACCUGCUGACUUGUGCCCAAAGUCUCCGAGGCUGAAACUUCUGCUUUCAUAAAUGGGGAGGCCCAGCACAGAAGUGAAAUGAAGAAGUGCCAUAAAAGAGCUUAUGAGCCUUUUAAAGACUUCCCAGGAGAUAUACACACACACAUACAUGUACACAAGAUGUUCAGUGUGAUUUCAGAGAAAUUCUCAGAGACCUCAUAUGUCUCGAACACUGGGUAAGACCUCUGCUUCCAGACAUUCUAAAAUUUACUCUUGAAUAAUGCAACCCAGAGAGCGGUGUACUUGGACCAAAUUACUUAUAUCCCUUAUAGUAUUAUUUCUGGCAAAUUACCCCAUCUGCUUUUGGCUUGCAUAACAGACAAUUGCAAGAAUUUCUUUUCUAUCUAUUGGUAGAGGUCCUCUUCCAUCACAUCCUUUAUACAAAGACUAUAUAAAUGCACAUAAUAUCUUACAUAUUAUUUCAUAGGUUUAAGAGAUACUUGGUGUCCAAUGUAGAAUAACAUGGACUAUGGGCUAACCAUGUUCUAUAAAGAAUAAAGUAGUUCUUUGUAAACUAGACUGUUUAUAUAUUUCAUACACACUCUGUUUCCCAGUUAUUCUCUCUUAUCACUUAAUAAAUUCUUUUGAUGUCUUUUCUAUAUCAUUUGUACUAAAGUGAAACAAAGUGAGAUGUUUUUGAUUGCUCCAUACCUGGACAAAAGUGUUAGAAUGGAAGCCUAGAGGCUGCUAUGGUGGUAGCAGUCAUAAUGAAAAUGAGAGAACCCCUAAAUGGAUGUGGUUUUCCUGCUUCAAUUACCUGGAGAUUGUUUUCCAGUGCUGACACCAGGAUGUCCUGAAUUUUGCUUUAGUGAAAGGAAUUAGUGUUUCCUCUACAGUUUUAAUUAUAAUUUUGUUUCCUCUAAAAUUGCUACGUAAUUUCAUUGACCAUUGAGUUAAUACAAAGUGAACUCCUUGGCCUGGCCCUCCAGGCACUCCAACUGUUCUAACCUAUCCCUGCUGCUCCAUCACCUCCCCUUCUCCUACACAUGGGCCUGUGCUGCCAUCAAACUGCACAAACCUCUCUUCUCUCAAGUGCUGGGGAGUUUUCUAAUCUCUGUCACUUUUCAUUCUGCUGAUUAUGUCAGGAAUUGGAUUUUCUUAGAUGUGAUGCAUAUUAAAUCUACUUUACAUGUAUAACAUGUUUAUAUAGUUAAUAAAUUUGACAAAAAAUUAUUAAAUGAUACCUAAUGAUGACUACGUUACAAAAUCAUAUAUAUAUAUAUAUGCCUUUUCAUAUAUAUUCAUGUCUUUCAACACUAACCUCACCCUCUACAUUCUCAUAAUACUUAAAAUAUGCUUGCCUUAUGUUUUCCAGGCCAUUGCAUGUGGUGCUCUCUUUGCCUGGAGUUCUCUCCUUCCUCCGUUCUUCUACUUGCCACCACUUCCCCAUGUAAUGACCCGAUUUGGAGAAGACUUGUUUCUGCCCCUCUUAUGGGUUCCCUUAGUACCCUAUUCUAAGUUCUAUUAAUUCAGACUGCAUUGUAACUCCCUGUUCAUUGUCUUCAUCAUUGUGUCCCCAAUGCGUAUACAGCACCUAAGGUUUGGAAAGUACUCAAAUAAAUGAAAGUCGGUGACAUUGAAAUACAUGUAUAA